UUUCUGUUGAAAUUGGCAUGCUUGGCUGCACUAUAUCUUUAGAUUAGCUUAUAUCUUCCUACGUGGCAUCGAAGGGUGGUCCUUCAGCUAUACAUCUACGAAACGGAAGACACGCGAAGUCAUGAUAAAUCUUGCAAGAAUGUAUUGCUUGGGACUGACUUGAGAUGACUGGACAAGAAUUUUUUGCAUCCACCUGUAAACUCACUCGAUGCAAUUAGUAAUCAGUUCACUAAAGUCGGUUGACGUUGCACGAGUAUGGAGUAGCCGCCAAACCAGAGUCGAUCUACGAUUUGCCUACUCGGACGGGACACGACGGGUUAUCGCGCAAACGAUGGGGAAACAACCGGCCGAAUGCAUGUUUUCCUACAGCUCGAACGAAAAAACCACCCUCAACUGGCGUACAGAGUCAUGUAAUUUUCUGGAAA
rnacentral:lncRNA from 1 species